AACGAACGCUGGCGGCAUGCCUAACACAUGCAAGUCGAACGAGACCUUCGGGUCUAGUGGCGCACGGGUGCGUAACGCGUGGGAACCUGCCCUUAGGUUCGGAAUAACUCCCCGAAAGGGGUGCUAAUACCGGAUAAUGUCUUCGGACCAAAGAUUUAUCGCCUUUGGAUGGGCCCGCGUUGGAUUAGCUAGUUGGUAGGGUAAAAGCCUACCAAGGCGACGAUCCAUAGCUGGUCUGAGAGGAUGAUCAGCCACACUGGGACUGAGACACGGCCCAGACUUCCACGGGAGGCAGCAGUUGGGAAAAAUUGGCAAAGGGGGAAAACCUGAUCCAGCCAAGCCGCGGGGGUGAAGGAGGCCUUAGGGUUGUAAAACUCUUUUACCCGGGAUGAAAAAGGCAGGACCGGGGGGAUAAGGCCCGGGCAACUCCGUG
rnacentral:rRNA from 1 species